rnacentral:rRNA from 1 species
UACAGAGGGUGCGAGCGUUGUCCGGAAUCACUGGGCGUAAAGGGCGCGUAGGUGGUGGCUUAAGCGUGCGGUGAAAGCUCGGGGCUCAACCCCGAGUCGGCCGUGCGAACUGGGCUCACUGGAGCAUAGUAGAGGCAGGUGGAAUUCCGGGUGUAGCGGUGGAAUGCGUAGAAAUCCGGAAGAACACCGGUGGCGAAGGCGGCCUGCUGGGCUAUGGCUGACACUGAGGCGCGACAGCGUGGGGAGCAAACAGG